AAUAAGGUGCCUGAUUAAAGGGUUAUCUUGAUAGGAUAAAUUAUGUAAUUAUUUACCCUUAUUA
rnacentral:tRNA from 1 species